CCGAUCGUCUCGACGACAAACAAUAAAACGCACCGGUUUAAUACGGCGCUAUAUAGACUCUAAAAUCGAAAAUAAAUAAUAAGCAAACACGCUGGUAUAAUAUGUGUAUAGGUGUUUUUUUUUCUUUCAUUUUUCAUUGUUUGCGCCGUGCGACACAAAAUCAAUUUGCAGACUAUAAUAGGCGUGACCAAAGUAUAUAUACAUAGGUAAUUUGUAACGGCGUCCGGUGGCCGG